AACCUCCGCAAUGUGAGAAAUCGCGACGGGGGGAUCCCAAGUGCCAUUCUUAACGGGAUGGCUUUUCAUUAGUGUAAAGAGCUUUUGGAAUAAGGGCUGGGCAAGACCGGUGCCAGCCGCCGCGGUAACACCGGCAGCUCUAGUGGUAGCAGUUUUUAUUGGGCCUAAAGCGUCCGUAGCCGGUCUAAUAAGUCUCUGGUGAAAUCCUGUAGCUUAACUGUGGGAAUUGCUGGAGAUACUAUUAGACUUGAGACCGGGAGAGGUUAGAGGUACUCCCAGGGUAGAGGUGAAAUUCUGUAAUCCUGGGAGGACCGCCUGUUGCGAAGGCGUCUAACUGGAACGGUUCUGACGGUGAGGGACGAAAGUUAGGGCGCGAACCGGAUUAGAUACCCGGGUAGUCCUAACUGUAAACGAUGCGGACUUGGUGUUGGGGUGGCUUUGAGCUGCUCCAGUGCCGAAGGGAAGCUGUUAAGUCCGCCGCCUGGGAAGUACGGUCGCAAGACUGAAACUUAAAGGAAUG
rnacentral:rRNA from 1 species